rnacentral:rRNA from 1 species
UACGAAGGGGGGCUAGCGUUGCUCGGAAUCACUGGGCGUAAAGCGCACGUAGGCGGCUUUUUAAGUCAGGGGUGAAAUCCUGGAGCUCAACUCCAGAACUGCCUUUGAUACUGAAAAGCUUGAGUCCGGGAGAGGUGAGUGGAACUGCGAGUGUAGAGGUGAAAUUCGUAGAUAUUCGCAAGAACACCAGUGGCGAAGGCGGCUCACUGGCCCGGUACUGACGCUGAGGUGCGAAAGCGUGGGGAGCAAACAGG